AUCAGUGGAGCACAAGCACAACAACCUUCUUAGAACUACCUGGUUGCUGAUGAGUGGAGGCAGCAGUUUCUAGGGGUUGCUGGUGACUGCCUUCUGCAGGCUGGUAUCAGGGGCCUGGUAUUGGGGUGCUGCUUUGAAAGAAGCUUGUCUCUAGAGGUGUGAUCUUGUUCAGAGAAAAGUUCUUCAAGCAGGGGUGACUGACCCUUCACAAAUGCCUGAGAUAUGCAUCUGGUUGUGCGAGGACAUCACACUCAGUUUGGGUCUGGAAUCUCCAAAGUGACGGUGCCCAAUGUAUGCAGGAGCUGAUGAAGCCCAGAUGAGGACAGCGCUGGAUCGGUAGGGAACAGGGAUCAAAGCCUUUGUACUUGUUGCCAAAUCAAUGUGCUUGAUUUUUACUUGUUAAUUUAUCCGCUACAAAAUGUUGUGGGCUUCUUUUAAUAUUAGCAUUUUUCAUCCUACAUAGUAGUCAAGUGCAACUAAAUACUGUAUUAUCGA